rnacentral:tRNA from 1 species
GGAAGCGUCGCCUAGUGGCUAUGGCAACGGUUCGCUAAACCGUAGCUCCAAAAGAGCCUCGUGGGUUCGAGUCCCACCGCUUCCGCCU